AGCAUGGUCUUAGCUUGCUAAGGCCGAUGGCGACCGGCGCACGGGUGAGUAACACGUAUCCAACCUGCCGUCUACUCUUGGACAGCCUUCUGAAAGGAAGAUUAAUACAAGAUGGCAUCAUGAGUCCGCAUGUUCACAUGAUUAAAGGUAUUCCGGUAGACGAUGGGGAUGCGUUCCAUUAGAUAGUAGGCGGGGUAACGGCCCACCUAGUCUUCGAUGGAUAGGGGUUCUGAGAGGAAGGUCCCCCACAUUGGAACUGAGACACGGUCCAAACUCCUACGGGAGGCAGCAGUGAGGAAUAUUGGUCAAUGGGCGAGAGCCUGAACCAGCCAAGUAGCGUGAAGGAUGACUGCCCUAUGGGUUGUAAACUUCUUUUAUAAAGGAAUAAAGUCGGGUAUGGAUACCCGUUUGCAUGUACUUUAUGAAUAAGGAUCGGCUAACUCCGUGCCAGCAGCCGCGGUAAUACGGAGGAUCCGAGCGUUAUCCGGAUUUAUUGGGUUUAAAGGGAGCGUAGAUGGAUGUUUAAGUCAGUUGUGAAAGUUUGCGGCUCAACCGUAAAAUUGCAGUUGAUACUGGAUAUCUUGAGUGCAGUUGAGGCAGGCGGAAUUCGUGGUGUAGCGGUGAAAUGCUUAGAUAUCACGAAGAACUCCGAUUGCGAAGGCAGCCUGCUAAGCUGCAACUGACAUUGAGGCU
rnacentral:rRNA from 1 species